UUUUUUUUUAAGGUAGAACCUAGCAUUUUAUUUAGAUCUUCAUUAAACUGUUGGAAUUGAGAACCAGACAUACGUAAUAAACCUCCAAAAAUAGAUCCUGAAAGGCACUUUCUGCUUAGGGCAAGCAGUCAUGGAAUAAGCAUGUAAACAAGCUGGCUUCUCUGUACCACACCAGCCAAGUCAGCUUUCUCCACGGCCAGCUGCACCAGCUCUGCCCUUCCUUCUGUUAACACCAGCCAGAUCCCCUGUAGGUCUAACCCAAGGUUUUUCUGUAGGACACCUUGGCCUACCUGGGAAUGCUGGAAACAUGUUGUUAAAGGAAUCAUGGUGUUGAGAGAAAAAAGAAAUCUUUUAAAAGCUGCCAUCUGAGGUGAUGGCUUCUCUGUACUUACGCCAUACCCCAGAAUACAAUAAGCAAUUAGAAAAUGUUCAAGUAUGAAGGGAUUUCCUCCUCCCCACCAAAAACACUGCUCUCUGAAGGAAGCUGGUUUCUCUGUAGCUACACCAGCUGUUCAGAAAGCUCAUUGGACCUGGUUUUGAAAAUAAAACAAAGUUAAAACACUGGGAGGAGUUAUUGUGCAGUGUGGAGUACUCAGGCUUUCUUAUAAAGAAAAAAAAAGUUAUCUGGUACCAAAGUGUGUAACCUACAGACCCUCAGGUACUGCCCUGUGACUUCUCUGUAUGAUAUCACAAGGCUGCCAAGUGCCUGUUUUUCUAGAACUAGGAGUUGGUGACGUUUGGCUACUGCUGAAACCA
rnacentral:lncRNA from 1 species